rnacentral:misc_RNA from 1 species
AAAUUGCGAUAAUUAAUGUGACUUGCAAAUUUUGUGAAUCAUCGAGUAUUUGAAUGCACAUUGCACUUUCUGGUGUUUCUGGAAAGUAUGCUUGUUUGAGCAUCAAUCUUAUAUCCUUGAAAAGUUCGGUUGUGUCUGUCAGCCCUUUUGGUGUUGAAGAUAUGAAGAUCAUCAUGGUUUUGGACACACAGUUUUCUGUUGUCGGUCAAAAGUAAUGGAAUAUUUGCUUGACUGGAUGAUCGGAAAUUGUAUGUGGCUGACUUGUGUGGGAAAACGAUUAAGAAUGUAGAUUUGAUCUCAAAUCAAGCAAGAUUACCCGCUGAACUUAA